UAUGUCGAAGAAGAAGUAUUUUUCAAUAUGGAAGAUCGAACAACUUGCUUCUUUUUCUCCAAUUUUCGAUACUUGUUCGCACGCCUACUUAGUUGGCCGGAUCCUGACCAAAUAUGACAUCUUGUGGGUCAGGUAGCUAAUUUAAAAUAUUGUUCAUAGACCAGAACCUUGACUGGGUAUGUCAUUCAUGCUUGCGAUUGAACUUAAGACUUCUCCUCCAUCUAUAAUCAUCCAGCA
rnacentral:lncRNA from 1 species